CCAGAGCUCACGGGGACGUCCCCUCAGCGUGAGCUCGUCCCCAGGGACGUCCCUGCCCGGGGCCACGGCUCCAUGCAGGGCAGUGGCUCUGCCCACAGCCCCAAAUCACGCAGCAGAAUCAAUGUCAGAUGGGUCGAGGUGGGCAGGGACCCCUCAGCCCUUGUGGUCCGACCCCCCGUGCAGCUGGGGCCAUCUAGAGCUGGCUGCCCAGGACCACGUCCAGGUGCAUUUUGAAUAUCCCCAAGUCCCCCGGCUCUCUGGGCGAGCUCUGCCAGUGCUCAGUCAUCCUCACAGUGAAGAAGUCUUCCCUGGUGAUCAGACAGAGCCGUCUGCGGUUUGGUUUGUGCCCCUCGCCUCUUGUCCCGUCCCUGGUCAGCGCUGCAAGGAGCCUGGCCCUGUCCUCGCGCCCUCCCUGCAGCACCCCGAACUCCGCCGUUUCGUGGUCACUGCAGCCAAGGCUGCCUGGGAGCUGUACACGUAGAGCCGGCAGCUCCUGGAGGACGUUUUUCGUAGGGAGCAAGAGCUCUCAAUUCCCACGUGCUAGCGAUCAGGCAGGGAAUGCGGGAGAAAAACCACGGCUGAGUUAAGGACCUUCUGGUCAAACUAAAGGGCGAGUAGAAAAUCCGUAGCGAGAGAUGUCCCGGCCCAUUGCGGGGGCUUUGGAACCAGCUGAUCUUUAAAGGUCCCUUCCAGGCAAAGCAUUCUGUGACUCCCAGCAAGCCCCUCGGUGCUGCAGACAGGUGACAGGUGGGGGUUGAAGUCCCCUGGGAGGACGGGGCCCUGCAAACGGGACGUUUCUCCUACCUAUCCGUAGAGGGACUCAGCUACUCGCUUUUUCUGGUCAAUUCCUUUCCUCGCACAGGCACGGGUACCGCCGAGGGGAGUUGGGUCCCGGUGUCCCAGCACUGCCAGAUCCCUGGUGCCGUGGGCAGGCCCCGAGCCCCCGUGACACCCCUCUCCUUUCCCUCUCCCCCCCCUUUCAUCUCU